CGCCGAUGUCGGGCAUGGCGGCGGGUGUCAGCAGGUUGUAGAGCGCCGUGGCGGCGAGCAGCAAAGAGGCGACGGCGGCCAGUGCCACCAGGCAGCAGGAGAACUGACAGAUGAAAAGCCCAAACGGUCACAGCGAGGCAAUUCCGGUUCUACUACAUGACUACGUGUUCUUGCUCCAUGCGUAAGAGGCAAUCUUCGGGUACACCGCGAGACCCACCAAAUCCAUAUUUUGUGCCACGCUGAGAGUCCACUUCUGGCUGUGUCUUCCUGCAUGUCACCUUGGAAGGAUGAGAGUGACUACAGGGUCGCAACAAGUGGACGCCAACUUUUCAGGGAAGGUCAGGCUUCAUGUUCGUGCCGGAGGUUUGCUUUGGUGCCUCAGAAGACGUCAAAUGUCUCCCCUAAAGACGAG